rnacentral:rRNA from 1 species
AUACGGAGGAUCCGAGCGUUAUCCGGAUUUAUUGGGUUUAAAGGGUGCGCAGGCGGCCAUUUAAGUCAGCGGUUAAAUCGUGGGGCUCAACCCCAUUCUGCCGUUGAUACUGGGUGGCUUGAUUGCGGUCGAGGUUGGCGGAAUUCGUUGUGUAGCGGUGAAAUGCAUAGAUAUGACGAAGAACACCGAUUGCGUAGGCAGCUGACCAGACCGCAAAUGACGCUCAUGCACGAAAGUGCGGGGAUCGAACAGGAUUAGAUACCCUGGUAGUCCGCACAGUUAACGAUGAAUACUUGUUUUCGGCGAUAUAAUGUCGGAGGCAAAGCGAAAGCGAUAAGUAUUCCACCUGGGGAGUACGCCGGCAACGGUGAAACUCAAAGGAAUUGGCGGGG